rnacentral:rRNA from 1 species
AAAUUGAAGAGUUUGAUCAUGGCUCAGAUUGAACGCUGGCGGCAGGCCUAACACAUGCAAGUCGAGCGGAAACGAGUCAUCUGAACCUUCGGGG